UAGUGGUGCGGGAGUGCCGGAAAGGAAGUGAACGAGGCCUGCUCUUUGCGGCAGUGUCGUGCCCGGUGAGCCCGCGCCAUGGCGGACAUGGAGGACCUGUUCGGGAGCGACGUCGAUUCCGAGCCCGAGCAGAAAGAUUCUGACUCUGGAUCUGACUCUGACUCUGAUCAGGAGAAUGCUGGCUCUGGCAGUAAUGUUUCUGGAAGUGAGAGUGACAGAGAUGAUGACAGAGAAGCAAUAAAGCCCAGUAACAAAGAGUUAUUUGGAGAUGAUAGUGAGGAUGAGGGAGCAUCCCACCAUACCGGGAGUGACAUCCGAUCUGAAAGAUCAUACAAUCACUCUGAAGCUUCGGGACAUUCUGAACAUGAAGAUAAUGACCAGUCAGAUAUAGAUCAGCAUAGUGGUUCAGAAGCUGCUGAUGAGGAUGAUGACAGAGGACCUGGAUCAGAUGAAGGUAGCCGUCACUCAGAUGCAGAUGGAUCUGAAAAAGCACAUUCAGAGGAUGAAAAAUGGGGCAAAGAGGACAAAAGUGAUCAGUCUGAUGAUGAUGAUAAGCUGCAGAAUUCUGAUGAUGAGGAAAGGCAGCAAAACUCUGAUGAUGAAGAGAAGGUUCUUCAGAACUCUGAUGAUGAUGAAAGGCCUCCGAUUUCCGAUGAUGAGGAAAGACUACAAAACUCCGAUGAGGAGAAAAUGCAGAACUCAGAUGAUGAAGAGAGGCCUCAGAUCUCUGAUGAGGAGAAGAUGCAGAACUCUGAUGAUGAACAGGCCCAGCAUUCUGAUGAGGAGAAGAUGCAGAAUUCUGAUGAUGAUGAAAGGGCCCAGCAUUCUGAUGAGGAGAAGAUACAGAAUUCUGAUGAUGAUGAUGAAAGGACCCAGCAUUCUGAUGAAGAUCACAGACGUUCAGAUGAUGAAGAGGAACAGGAGCAUAAAUCUGAGUCUGCAAGAGGCAGUGACAGUGAAGAUGAAAUUUUGCGAAUGAAACGUAAAAAACCAAUUGCAUCAGAUUCAGAAAUGGAUAGUGAUGCAGAAGGACAAAAAGAUCACAGGGAUGCAAUAGAUCUGUUUGGAGGUGCAGAUGACAUUUCUUCAGGGAGUGAUGGGGAAGACAAGCCACCAACUCCAGGGCAACCUAUUGAUGAGAAUGGACUGAAUCAGGAGCAGCAGGAAGAAGAACCUAUUCCAGAAACACGAAUAGAAGUAGAGAUACCAAAAGUAAACACUGACUUAGGAAAUGACUUGUAUUUUGUGAAGCUGCCCAACUUCCUCAGCGUGGAGCCCAGACCUUUUGACCCUCAGUAUUAUGAGGAUGAAUUUGAAGACGAGGAAAUGCUUGAUGAAGAAGGUAGAACAAGGUUAAAACUAAAGGUGGAAAACACCAUACGUUGGCGAAUGCGACGAGAUGAAGAGGGAAAUGAGAUUCGAGAAAGCAAUGCACGGAUAGUCAAGUGGUCAGAUGGAAGCAUGUCGCUGCAUUUGGGCAAUGAAGUCUUUGAUGUGUACAAGGCACCAUUACAGGGAGAUCACAACCAUCUGUUUAUCAGACAAGGAACUGGUCUACAGGGACAGGCUGUGUUCAAGACUAAAUUAACCUUCAGGCCUCACUCUACGGACAGCGCCACCCACAGGAAGAUGACUUUGUCUCUUGCAGAUAGAUGUUCAAAGACCCAAAAAAUUCGUAUCUUGCCCAUGGCUGGUCGUGAUCCAGAGUCUCAGCGCACAGAAAUGAUUAAGAAAGAAGAGGAGAGGUUAAGAGCUUCUAUUCGCAGAGAAUCCCAGCAGCGGAGAAUGCGGGAGAAGCAGCACCAGCGUGGUCUGAGUGCAAAUUAUUUAGAACCUGAUCGUUAUGAUGAGGAGGAUGAAGGAGAAGAGGCAAUCAGUCUGGCAGCUAUUAAAAACCGCUAUAAAGGUGGUAUAAGAGAGGAACGUGCUAGAAUCUAUUCUUCAGACAGUGAUGAGGGAUCAGAUGAAGACAGAACGCAGAGACUACUAAAGGCAAAGAAACUAACCAGUGAUGAGGAAGGUGAACCUUCUGGAAAGAGGAAAGCAGAGGAUGAUGACAAAGCAAGUAAAAAGCACAAGAAAUAUGUGAUCAGUGAUGAAGAGGAAGAUGAUGAUUAAAAUUGGGAAAGCUGAUGACUUUUUAUAUAUAUAUAGUACAGUUCUUUUACAGCAAAGAUGAGGAGAUUACUGGGUUCACCCUUCAAGAUGUGUAAAUGUUGCUAACAGUUUGCUUGUGAGAGAAGACCCAAACAGCAAGGUCAUAGAUCAAACCAGCACAUAGAACUGCACCUGGAAACUACUACAGACUAUGAAGCACAGGUGUAGCAUAUCCUCUGCAGUAACUAAGCAAGCAAGUUGCCUCAUUCUGCAUAGUGGUUUUCAGUGGUAGCCCUCCAUCAGGCAUGUUGCUGCAAUCCAGUCUUGAGGCAUGAAUUAACUAUGGGAAAGUAAAAAAUCUGAAAUAAACUAUUCCAUCCAAAUUCAGAUGAAAGAAAGAACUUGAUCAGUUCUGGUAUCUGGGCUUCCAAAAGUGCCUGAGGAACCAACACUGCCUUGUUUGCAAACUUGGAUUUAAAAAUGGAGGAAAAGAUUUUCAUACGUGAUUAGAGAUUUGAAGUGUGUUCUGCUUUUAGGUGCCCAACUUGACACAUCUUUAAAGGACUCUAAUUUUCAGAUGGUGUGACAUAUCCCCAGGAUAUACUCUGGAAGUGUGGGACUGCUGUGCCCCCUGUCUCCAGCCUAGGCUGUCUCUAACAAUGCUGCGCUAGUGACAAGCAGCAAAACUCCUCCAGGUGCUGUGAUUACUGAGUCAACAACUCACAGGGACAUACCCAGCUAAAAUUGCAUGAAUGCUUUAUCAGCCAAUUAUACAGAGAGAGACACCAGCAAAUCUCCCCAGCCUUGCACUCCUGUUUCAAAAUCUUUUCUUGAACAGUGCAAACUCAUUAAUUAGUUCAUCGCUUUGUCAAAGGAAAGUGGACAUGCACCAGCCUUUGUAAUCUGAGCAGAUUCCCCAAGCACUUCAACCAAAAACACACUGUUUUAGAUAAAAUAUAAAAAUAAGUUUAUUAACCACAGAAAGAUAGAUGUCAAGUGAUUAUAAGUGUUAGGCACAGAGGUCAAAGUUGGUUGCAUCAGAAAUAAAAAUAGAAUCACAGUCUAAAUUCUAACUGGCUAAGCAAGUUUUGAAUCAAGCAGUUUUUCUCACCCAAAUAGAUGUUACAGGCAGCUCAGUUCUGAAUACACAGACUGAAUUUUCUUCUGAGCCUGGGACCAAUUUCUCCAAUUCAAAGUCUUUGUCUUCCAAAUGAUUUUCCUGGUGUUGAGAUGGGGGAGGAGAGAGGCCAAGUGGUGAUGUCACUGACCCUCAUUUAUACUUUCUCUCCAUGUACUAGAAAGAUCCUAGCCAGGACAUGGGGGUUAGGUAGCUCCCAUUGUGUACGUGCCCUCUCUGAGGAAUCUCUGGGAGAGUCGAUUCUUCUUGAUGGUCCAUCAACACCUAUCUGGCUAAUCUAGAUAUAAAUCUGUCAUGUCAACCUGUUGCUCCUUUGUUGCCACUGAAAGGCUAGCUGUGGCCAUUUCCCACUUACCACACACUUCUGAAACAAACGUAUUGCAAUACUUCAUAACUUUACUACCCUGUUGAAUGGUCUAUACUGUCAUUGUAUGUGAUGUUCAACAGAUCAAGGCUUUGAUGAUACUUCACAAGGCAUACUUUGUACAAAAUAUCUCGUAAUCCUAUCACAGUGGUGAAUAUGGGGGCUCCAGGUUGCUAUUUUGGGAGACAGACUGUCACAGUGGGUGCUCAGCGCUUUCUGAAAUUGCAUCUGUUUGAGGUGUGGCAAUUUGGGCAUUCAAGAGCUAAUGCACCAAAAGUCACUAGACACGGGAAAAUCCUGAUCUACAUCUUAGUGUGUGCGUGCACACCAAACCCAACUAACUCCUGACAAUCUCUUCUCCAUAUACCUUCUAAUUAUGGAAUUCCCUUUAAUAUAUCCGGACUCACCAGCAAAUGGAUCCACUAAGUACCUGUUGAAGAGUCACAGGCCCCUUGUUUGGAGGCAUGCUGGUGUCUGUACUACAUAGUAUUAACUUCUUUGGCUCAGCACCUGAGAACUGGUGGAGCUCUAUGCAAUGGUUUUGCUGGGUGAUUUAUUACUUUCUUGACAUGCACAAUUGUUAGAGCAUAUAUUGUACCUUGGCUACAGGACUCCAAAGGCAUAUAGAAAGGGGUCUUGUACUACCCAAAGUUGAGAGACAUUGACCAUUACUUUUCACAGCUGAAAAAAUGUUACUGUUGGUGCGAAGGGAAUUAACUGAGUGAGGUGGGAUAGGGAAUCACAAAUAAGUAUCCAGGCCCUACUCAUCUAACUAGAUUAUAGUGUGAUUUCAGAUAUACCGAAAUAUAGUUGUCAAACAAAAGGAUUCUUUUUGGUGAUAUUUCAGGAGCUGAACCCAAAUAGUGUUUUUAUUAAAAUUAGACUUUUUCAGUCAUUUGUUAACAAAAAAGCUGCAGAAAACAAACUGAAAAGCCUGAACUCUCAACAAAAGAUAUUAGCACAUUUAGCAAUUCUAUUUUAAGGUGAGGGAAGAUGAAAUAAACCAACAAUGAAAAAUGAAAUGAGUGCAAACAAUGAUCUGUGCCCAUGUGUGUAAGUGCACACGUGAUCUGUGCACUUUCACCCUACUGGAACUAUUAAGUUGUGUGCAUUACCUAUCUCAAUAGCCUCAUAACCUUACUUUUGUAUCUUUGUCCUCUUCUCCUACCCCCUCCCAGCUCUGUUUCCUUCCCAGUGUCUUUUUCUGUCAGUGCAUUUUGUCUAAAAGCUAGAUUGUAAACUCUUUACUGACCAAAACUUGUGACUUGAUCGUGUUUUGCUGGCCUAUUUGAAAUGUGUUUCUAGGUCUGACUCAAAUCCGUAAUGGACAAGUGUCCCUCUCACAAAACCACUCACAACAACUGACAUUUACUAGCAGCACUGUUGGCAUGACAAAAAUUGAGUGGGCAUACAGGCAGCUCUGACUCUCUUUCUCCCCCAUUGAGAUUAUAUCUCCAGGGCAAAGUGGAGGCACAUGACUGGAAUAGUAGAGAAAGCUGCAUUGCAACUGUCCAUACUGAACCUGUUUUUGCGGUUAAAUACAGGCCAGCACUCUCCAAGACUGUUGUGGGCACUAGAUCCCUCAUUUCACAAAGCAAUGAAAGUUAAGCUCUGUCAAGGACAGUUUGGCUAUAUAAAGGCAUGAGAUCUAGAAGAUAAUCAUGCUGGAGAAGGGUAAGCUAUGUGAACACUCAGGGGAAUUGAGGGUGAACAUGGUGGAAGGCCUCCUAUACAUAAACUUACACAUGGAUAAUCUGGUGUGGUAAGGUGGCAAGCUGGCAAGAUAGCAUUAGUUGUCAGUCUUGGUUUGCUUGACCAUUUAAAUAGCUAACCUUUUUGUAAUAAUGAAUCUCUUUUUGCAGAUUCCAAAGCCAGAAAAGACCAUUGUGAUCAGCUAGUCUGACAUCCUGUGUAUAACACAGGUCACAAAACUUCCCCAAAAUAAUUCCUAGAGUAGAUCUUUUGGAAAAAUGCCAAUCUUCUUUUUAAAAUGGCCGAUGGAUAAAGAAUCUACUAUGACUCUUAAUAAAUUGUUCCAGUGCCUAAUUA